rnacentral:tRNA from 1 species
GGGGAUGUAGCUCAGUGUGGUAGAUCACUUGCCUACCAUGCAUGAGAUCCUAGGUUUGAUUCCUAGUACUUCA